ACAAUCCACUUUUCAUUUCUUGAAUUCUUCUGCAAUAUGGUAUCGGAGAGGGAAAUUUGAUUUCCCUGUGAUCCUGUCUUGUUCGUCCUGCUCUUCGUGUUCUUCAUUCUCCAGCGAGCGGUGCUUCUCUUCCAGCUCCGGGGACUUCGUUCUCAAGCUUUCUUCUCAUAUGUCUUCCUUUUCUUCCUAGUUUUUUUCAUUCUCGAUUGAAUCAUGAGUACCUCCCCAUCUACUGGUGAUGUGGAUUCUUCAGUUGUCUCUUCAGAUUCACAGGCUACUAACAACGAUGACCAACAACCUCAGUCGAAUCCAUCAUUGAUUCCUUCAUCUAUUCUGGCAAGAACAAAAUCGACGACCCUUUUGACCCCUAUUACUUACACCAUGUUGAUAACCCAGGAAAUGUGCUUGUUUCUCAACUUCCACACAUCUUGGAGUAGAGUUAUGAAACUCUCAAUCUUAGUAAAGAAAAAAUUGGGGUUUCUUGAUGGUUCCAUCCCUAAACCCUCUACUUCUAAUUCAAUUUUGUAUAAUGCCUAGAUUAGUAACAAUAAUGUGAUUUCCUGGAUCUUAAAUUAUGUUUCUAAAGACAUCUCUGAUAGUAUUAUCUAUAAUGAAUCAACUGCAGAGGAAUGGAAAGAUCUAAAAAUCAGAUUUUAGCGAUGCAAUGGGCCACAUAUCUUCAAGCUUAGACGUGAACUGAUGAAUCUCAAGCAAGAACUUAAAUCUGUUAGCAUUUACUAUACCAAACUCCGAACACUUUGGGAAGAGUUGUCUCACUACAGGCCUGCUUGCACAUGUGGAGGAGUAAAAGCAUUACAGGAUCAUUUUCAGAUGGAAUACACUAUGUCCUUUCUAAUGGGACUUCAAGAUUCAUAUUCACAAGUUAGAGGCAACAUCUUGCUCAUGGAUCCCCUACCUUCCUUAAGCAGUGCUUUCAAUCUCAUCACUCAAGAUGAGAAUCAAAGGAGUACUGUGAAUUCAUCCACUUCAUAUGAUUUUGUCAACAAUCCCACAAUGGCAUUUGCGAUUACAGGAGGACAAUCAUCCCAUCCUUCUUCUAGUUCUACAUCAAAUCGACCAUACCCUCAAAGGAAAAAUAGACCAUUCUGUACACAUUGCAAUGCCCAUGGUCACACCAUUGAGAAGUGCUACAAAAUCCAUAAAUAUCCACCUUUUAACAAGCCUAAACUUCCUCCAACGGCUACUGCUAAUCAGCUGCGAACCAGUGACAAUUCGACUUCACACAGUGGUGAACAAUCCAGUUUUUUACCUCAACUCAAUGCAACUCAGUAUACUAGCAACUUCUAAAUCUUCUUGUUUCUCAACAAUAUGGUAUAACUCCAACUCUUCCUCCUUCCUCAAUGGAAACUACAGGAAACACUCAGCAAGAAGAUGAUUGGCAAUGGUAGCUCAAGCAAUGGUUUAUACACCUAAGAUACAUCAUUUUCUGUUUCACACAUCAAUACUGUUAGUGUUGAAAUUGGCACUCUAGAUUAGGCCAUUUAUCUUCCAAAUGUCUUGAUACUCUUAGUUCCACUUUGAAUUGUAACACUACACAUUUACAUAAAAUAUUACCUUGUUUCA